GAGUGAUUCGAGUUUCUCAAAGGGGAAAAACUUUCAUGAACGCUUGGCCCAGAAUUGCCGCUGUUCUCCACCAGACAGGCAAGGGGGGUUUGCUUUAAGGAAAGAUUUUUCUCUCAGAUGAGAAGAGAUAUAAGAAAUCUUCCUCCCUCCCUGCCUUAAUACGGUGCCAUAUGAGGCCAUGAUUAUUACUACAUCACUUGGAGCUGAGGCAGCCAUUUUGAGAUCCUGAGGGAAGAUGUCAUCAGCCUACUGCUCCACUGCCAGAGGAGAAAGCUGGAAAUACUGGAGUUAUUGGUGACGUCAGCCCUACUCUGACUUCUAACAGGUUCUAGGGUCUGAACACAGGGCCUUGUAAACACCGAGGAAGCCCUCUACCACUACCAGUAAGCCAUACCCACUAACGGAAUAAAACAUUUCUGAG
ensembl:lncRNA